CAACGCCACGCGCCGGAGGGCGUUGCCGGCCGGCGGUUUCCCCGCCGUGCCGGAGGACGUUGCCUCCACUGCCGCUCAUGGUCCGCGCACGCCGAAGGGCUGCAUGGCCGCGUCGUGGUUGGUUGCUCCGUGGGAGCCGCCCUGAGGCCGAGGGCCUCGGAUGAUGUCCGUGUGACGCGCGCGUCGCUCUGCGCGGAGGAUUCAGGCCGAUGGAGGGCACCGCCGCGCCACCGGGGUGCGUCGGGCGUAGUGGGUGUGCCUCCACCGACAGCGUUCGUAUCUGUUUUCUUCUGUUCUUGGAAUAAAAUCAAACUGAAUCACCUUGUUUGACACCGAUUUCUCUUUCUCGAGGCCAGCGAUGUGUAUGGCGGCCCUUAUUGAAGGUCCCCGGAGUUGCUUGAUGCCGAUGGGUAGUGCAGAAGCGAGCGCGGCGCGUGAGUGUGGCCUCGCCGGGCGCAAGAAUGGCGCUGAGGGCCGUCGGGCGCUCCGUGGUGUGCCACGGAUGCAAUAUGAGAACUCCGUCGCCGGACGAGCGUCGCGCGUCGGCCGUUUUGCCUCCAGAUGCGGGAGAAGAGCCCUUGGCGCCUCGCCGCUGUUACGCCGCCUCCCCGUCGCUUUCUUCUCGCUUCCUGUGGCCAAAUCGCUCUCGGUUACGAGCGUGCUGAUAACGUGUUGAAUGUAAAAGUGAUUGAAUGAAGGAAAAGCUACUGAUUU